rnacentral:lncRNA from 1 species
CAAUUUUAUACUCGAACGCUCAUAUAUGGAACUUUCCAAGUCUCUCUUUGUUAUUUGCCUACUGUUUACUUCCGUCUUCUCAUCAGCUGCCGCACAACCGCCAUGCACAAGUUGUACCUUCUCCAACAAGAAAACCUUCGCCGCAUGCAGUACGCUCCCCGUUCUGAAUUCGACGAUCUACUGGAAUUAUUAGCCGUCGACAGCCACUGUCGACAUUGCAUUCACACAAUCUGUGGUGAGUGACUCGAGAUGGGCUGCAUGGGCCACAAACCCUACGUCUACCGGCAUGGUAGGUUC